CGCCUUUCCUCUGUCCGUAGAGUCGUCGAUCGUCUUCCAGUCGUUAGAUCUGUGGUGCAGAUUAGAUUCGGCUCCUAGCCGCCCAGCCACACAGGCUUCUUCCGGCCACUGCUCGUCGCACUGCCGCUGGAGACCACGCACCGCCUGACCUUUCUCUUUCGUUCGCCACCGUCUUGUCGGUUUUUAAGUGUUGAGACUGGUUGGGUAAGUGUUUUUUUUUAACUUCGGAGAUUUAUUGUUAACUAAGAUUUUGGUAUGGUUUGAUUAACCCAUAAUGUUGGGAUUCUAGAAUCAAAAUUUGGGUUGAUUUUGAGGUGGCCCACCAAGUUUGAAGUUUUAAGACCAAUUUCGGUGGAAAAUUUGUUAAGGUGUCGCUUCAAGGCUUUGCUUGGCAAGGAGGGGAUAAGCUUGCUUGAACUAAUUUGGAUUUACUUAAUCUUAUUACUGGAACCACCUUUGUACUGGGCGAUAAAUUUAUGAUUUAUUUUGAUGAUUUUAAGACUAGUUACAAGGAUAAUUUUGACUGUUCUGAGAUUUAAUGGACUCUUUAGAAAAGAUAUAUGAGCAUGUGAUAAUAUGUCUGAAGCAUUUUAAUGUAUGAGCAUGAUUUAGAAUUUUAUGAGACAUAUUAAAAGUAUGAUUGAGCAUGACCCUAAA